rnacentral:misc_RNA from 1 species
CGAGGGAGCUUGCUCCCGCUGGGCUACGAAGUAGCCCCAUGCCUUUUUGGGCGGGCUUCGCCCACCAGCGGGAGCAAGCUCCCUCG